AUUGAACGCUGGCGGCAUGCCUUACACAUGCAAGUCGAACGGCAGCACGGGAGCUUGCUCCUGGUGGCGAGUGGCGAACGGGUGAGUAAUAUAUCGGAACGUACCCUAGAGUGGGGGAUAACGCAGCGAAAGUUGCGCUAAUACCGCAUACGAUCUACGGAUGAAAGUGGGGGAUCGCAAGACCUCAUGCUCAUGGAGCGGCCGAUAUCUGAUUAGCUAGUUGGUGGGGUAAAGGCCUACCAAGGCAUCGAUCAGUAGCUGGUCUGAGAGGACGACCAGCCACACUGGAACUGAGACACGGUCCAGACUCCUACGGGAGGCAGCAGUGGGGAAUUUUGGACAAUGGGGGCAACCCUGAUCCAGCAAUGCCGCGUGAGUGAAGAAGGCCUUCGGGUUGUAAAGCUCUUUUGUCAGGGAAGAAACGGUGAGGGCUAAUAUCCUUUGCUAAUGACGGUACCUGAAGAAUAAGCACCGGCUAACUACGUG
rnacentral:rRNA from 1 species